rnacentral:rRNA from 1 species
GACGAACGCUGGCGGCGUGCUUAACACAUGCAAGUCGAGCGGUAAGGCCCUUUCGGGGGUACGACGAGCGGCGAACGGGUGAGUAACACGUGGGUGACCUGCCCUCAGCUCUGGGAUAAGCCUGGGAAACCGGGUCUAAUACUGGAUAUGACUCCAUGACGCAUGUUGUGGGGUGGAAAGCCUUGUGCGGCUGAGGAUGGGCCCGCGGCCUAUCAGCUUGUUGGUGGGGUGAGGCCUACCAAGGCGACGACGGGUAGCCGGCCUGAGAGGGCGACCGGCCACACUGGGACUGAGACACGGCCCAGACUCCUACGGGAGGCAGCAGUGGGGAAUCUUGCGCAAUGGGCGAAANCCUGACGCAGCGACGCCGCGUGAGGGAUGACGG